rnacentral:rRNA from 1 species
UGGGGAAUAUUGGGCAAUGGGCGAAAGCCUGACCCAGCGACGCCGCGUGAGCGAUGAAGCCCUUCGGGGUGUAAAGCUCUUUCGGCAGGAACGAUAAUGACGGUACCUGCAGAAGAAGCUGCGGCUAACUACGUGCCAGCAGCCGCGGUAAUACGUAGGCAGCAAGCGUUGUUCGGAGUUACUGGGCGUAAAGAGUGCGUAGGCGGUCCUCUAAGUUCGGUGUGAAAUCUCCCGGCUCAACUGGGAGGGUGCGCCGGAAACUGGAGGGCUUGAGUAUGGGAGAGGAAAGCGGAAUUCCUGGUGUAGCGGUGAAAUGCGUAGAUAUCAGGAGGAACACCUGUGGUGUAGACGGCUUUCUGGACCAUGACUGACGCUGAGGCACGAAAGCGUGGGGAGCAAACA